AUUGAACGCUGGCGGCAGGCCUAACACAUGCAAGUCGAGCGGUAGAGAGAAGCUUGCUUCUCUUGAGAGCGGCGGACGGGUGAGUAAUGCCUAGGAAUCUGCCUGAUAGUGGGGGAUAACGUCCGGAAACGGACGCUAAUACCGCAUACGUCCUACGGGAGAAAGUGGGGGCUCUUCGGACCUCACGCUAUCAGAUGAGCCUAGGUCGGAUUAGCUAGUUGGUGGGGUAAAGGCUCACCAAGGCGACGAUCCGUAACUGGUCUGAGAGGAUGAUCAGUCACACUGGAACUGAGACACGGUCCAGACUCCUACGGGAGGCAGCAGUGGGGAAUAUUGGACAAUGGGCGAAAGCCUGAUCCAGCCAUGCCGCGUGUGUGAAGAAGGUCUUCGGAUUGUAAAGCACUUUAAGUUGGGAGGAAGGGUCGUUACCUAAUACGUGGCGAUUUUGACGUUACCGACAGAAUAAGCACCGGCUAACUCUGUGCCAGCCGCCGCCGUAACAC
rnacentral:rRNA from 1 species